UCUUAUGCCCUUUCUGACAAAACUGAGGAUGUUCAGCAAAGGAGGAAGAUCAAAGUGUAUGAGAAGCAGAGCCAAGGACAGGAAACAAGAAGGUUAAGGAAACACCAACCUUGAAGCCUUAAAGCUCUCCUGAACUUCUGU
rnacentral:lncRNA from 1 species